GCCGAGGUGGCUUAGGCUGGUUAUAGCGCUCGGCUCAUACGGAAAUUCCUAAGGGGUUCUUCCCCUUGGGUCCUGGGAAACCGAGAGGUCGGGGGUUCAAGUCCCCCCCUCGGCA
rnacentral:tRNA from 3 species